UAGGGAAUCUUCCGCAAUGGGCGAAAGCCUGACGGAGCAACGCCGCGUGAGUGAUGAAGGUCUUCGGAUCGUAAAACUCUGUUAUUAGGGAAGAACAAAUGUGUAAGUAACUAUGCACGUCUUGACGGUACCUAAUCAGAAAGCCACGGCUAACUACGUGCCAGCAGCCGCGGUAAUACGUAGGUGGCAAGCGUUAUCCGGAAUUAUUGGGCGUAAAGCGCGCGUAGGCGGUUUUUUAAGUCUGAUGUGAAAGCCCACGGCUCAACCGUGGAGGGUCAUUGGAAACUGGAAAACUUGAGUGCAGAAGAGGAAAGUGGAAUUCCAUGUGUAGCGGUGAAAUGCGCAGAGAUAUGGAGGAACACCAGUGGCGAAGGCGACUUUCUGGUCUGUAACUGACGCUGAUGUGCGAAAGCGUGGGGAUCAAACAGGAUUAGAUACCCCCGUAGUCCCUGAGCGGGCUGGCAAGGCGCAU
rnacentral:rRNA from 1 species